UACGUAGGGUGCGAGCGUUAAUCGGAAUUACUGGGCGUAAAGCGUGCGCAGGCGGUUUUGUAAGCCAGAUGUGAAAGCCCCGGGCUUAACCUGGGAACUGCCUUUGUGACUGCAAGGCUUGAGUGCGGCAGAGGGGGAUGGAAUUCCGCGUGUAGCAGUGAAAUGCGUAGAUAUGCGGAGGAACACCGAUGGCGAAGGCAAUCCCCUGGGCCUGCACUGACGCUCAUGCACGAAAGCGUGGGGAGCAAACAGG
rnacentral:rRNA from 1 species